CAAGGGGAAGAAUUCCUUCCUUAGAGGACUGGAAAAGAUCUUUGAAGAUUCCUCCCACUGCUUUAUCCUCUGCCCCAGAUGUUGAAUCUUAGAUCUAGAAUGGGAAGAGACUUCAGAGAUCAACCCCCUCCUUUUACAGAGCAAACUGGAACUCAAGGAGACAAAGGGACUCCUUUAUUACAGAUGUGAUGUUUUUACGUUACUAGGAUUAGAGGUGAUCCAGUGACAAUGGCCUCCUUAUUGUUCCUCUAGAGCAUUAUCCCAUCUCGAGACUCUUAAUAUUUCAAUGUCUACCUCCCAUGACUGGAAUUCUCUCCCAUCCAUCUCCAUUUCCUGACUUCCUGGCUGCCCCCAAGUCCUAAGCAAAAUCCUAACUUCUGUAAGAAGCCUUUCCAUACCCCCCCUUUACUAAUUGUAUUUACCCAGAAUUGUUUCCAAUUUAUCCUCUGUAGAGUUUAUUUCUAAACCAUUCAUUUCAUGAUGUCUUCCUCUAUUAGAUUGUGAACUCCUUGAGAGUAAGGUGUAUGUUUUUUGUUAUUUUGUUUUUUUCUUUUAUUUUAAUCCCUAGCUCUUGAUACAGUGCCUGACAUAAAGUAAACAAUAAAUGCUUAUUGACUGAUUUCA
rnacentral:lncRNA from 1 species